GAAGAACACUUUUGGAAGGGGAAACAAUGAUGUACCUACAAAGCCAGAACAGGAUAAAGGCAGUAUGCUCCCGGUCGGUUACAGGAGUCCCUGGAGCCCCUUGCUGGUCGGUUGCGAACUUUGUCCAACCCCAUUCCUUCACACCUUGUAAAGACCAUCCCGGAUGGUCUUCUGAUGGCUCCUGCCCAUCUAGGGCUCCCAUUACAGGGUCUUCACCCACGACUGGGAGAUGUGCGAUCAUGGCCACGUCCAUAAGAGUUGGGCCAAAGGGGGCCGAUGGCAAAAGGAAAGUCCCAUUUUCCGCAUUCCAGAAGGCGGACAUGGCCAACAGCACCUUCUCAUGCAGGUUGAUAGGCAUGGUGGACAGUAGUAUUGCUUGGUCGAUCUUUUGGGAUCGCCAUUGGGUCUGGAAGUGUUCUGCUACUCGUCGAUACCAAGCACGAUACAGAUCUUUUGGGUCUGUGAGAUGGGUCUUGAUGCUGUCUCGGAUGCGAACUGCUUGGUAGUUGGGAUUGUUGAUAGCCAAGGAGUUGCGAGAUUCCAAAACUUCCCUCAUCCGAUUUGAAUCUUCAGGAGUAGUGCAAUAUGGACGGAUCGUCGGAGUUAGUACUUUCGAGGCUGAAAAUGGACCUUCUGGAAGGGUUCCGUCGAAAGGAAGGGCAGGAAUGUAUUGAUUCGCCAUAGUUAGAAUGUUUUGGGAUUGUGAUUCACACAGGCUUGUAUUGCGAAGAAGGAAGUUAACCAGGAGUGUUGCAGUAACUGGUGUAGUUGCUAAGGAGGUAGUGCUUUAUGAACUUCCAAACAUUGAUUGUUAAAUGGCGUUUGAAAGUCCCUUGGCGGCGGGCAAGUUGUUACGCACGAAAUUUAGAAUUAGGUUAAAAGCCCAAGGUAAAAAGAAGAAUGGGCCUGGCAAUAGGGUUGAUUGAACUGGCUGAAGGACACCGUGAGGAAAUCAAGGAAAAUAAAUUUAUUUAUUUAUUUCUAAGGAAAAUACAGGACGGAAAGACCUCAGGACGGAAGGUUCUUAGGUCGGUAGGUCCUCAGGACGGAAAGACCUCAGGACGGAAGGUUCUUAGGUCGGUAGGUCCUCAGGACGGAAAGACCUCAGGUCGGAAGGUCCGCAAGACGGAAAGACCUCAAGUCGGAAGGUCUUCAGGUCGGGAGGUCCGCAAGACGGAAAGACCUCAAGUCGGAAGGUCUUCAGGUCGGGAGGUCCGCAAGACGGAAAGACCUCAAGUCGGAAGGUCUUCAGGUCGGGAGGUCCGCAAGACGGAAAGACGAUGAGUCGGAAGGUUUUCAAGUCGGGAGGUCCUCGAGACGGAAAGUCGUCGAGAUGGGAUAUCCGCAGGUCGGGUAAACUGUAGGUCGGAUAGAAGGAGGAGUCGGACAAACGCGGAGGCCUUUGAUCAAAGACAGGGGGCGGUUGAUAUGGAGGUCGGCCCAAGUGGGGUCGGGCGAAGAAGUAGGUCGGACGAAGGACGAAGUCGGGCCAAAAGAGCGGAAGGUCUGUGGU